AAGUAGUGAAUAGCAUUGGAGAGAUUGUGUCUCCUUGCCCGACCCCUUUCUUGAUAGGUAACUUUCUACUUUUCUUGUGGAGAACCAAGGUGGCUGUGCAAUCCUUGUAGAUAUUUGCCAAUAUAUUCACGUAUGCAUCCUGUACUCCUUGGUUACGUAAUGCCUCUAUGACUGCUGGUAUCUGUACUGAAUCAAAUGCUUUUUCAUAAUCUAUGAAAGUCAUAUAGAGAGGUUGAUUGCACUCCGCAGAUUUCUCUAUUACCUGGUUGAUGACAUGAAUAUGACCCAUCGUAGAAUAUCCCUUCCUGAAGCCAGCCUAUUCUCUUGGUUGGCUGAAGUCAAGUGUUGCCCUGAUUCUAUUUGAAAUUACCUUGGUGAAUAUUUUAUACAAUACUGAGAGCAAGCUAAUGGGUCUAUAAUUCUUCAAUUCUUUAACGUCUCCCUUUUUAUGGAUGAGUAUAAUGUUGGCGUUCUUCCAGCUUUCUGGUACACUUGAA